CAGAGUACGUGAAACUGCUUAGAGGUUAAGCCCGAUGAACCUGAAUAUCCACUAUAGAAAAUUCAUCAUUAUGAUUUUAAUAUUUAUAAUAUUAUAAUAAUAGUGUGCAUUUUUUCUAUAAAAGGACAUUGUAAUCUAUUAACAUAAAUUAUAUUUAUCAUAAGAUCAAUUCGCGUAAGUUUAUUCAAAUUAUUUUGCUUGCAAUUUAAUAUCGAAUAAAUGCAUUUGAUUUGAUAAAGUGUUGAUAGAUUUAUUAUAUAUAGUGCUUAAAUAUAUAUAUUUUAUAAUAGCAUAUAAAUCAUUGAUUUUUAUGUUUAUUUAUAUGCACUUAUAUGAUUAACAAUGCGAAAGAUUCAGGAUACCUUCGGGACCCGUCUUGAAACACGGACCAAGGAGUCUAACAUAUUUGCAAGUUAUUGGGUAUAAAAACCUAAUAGCGAAAUUAACAUAACUUAUUUUAAUGGGAUUAGUUUUUAGCCUAUUUAUAGUCUAUUAAUUCAAUCCCGGGGCGUUCUAUACAGUUAUGUAUAAUAUUAUUUAUAUUAUUUAUACCUCUAACUAGAGCGUACCUUGAGCAUAUAUGCUGUGACCCGA
rnacentral:rRNA from 1 species